rnacentral:rRNA from 1 species
UACACUCCUGCGGGAGGCAGCAGUGGGGAAUUUUGGACAAUGGGCGAAAGCCUGAUCCAGCCAUGCCGCGUGCAGGAUGAAGGCCUUCGGGUUGUAAACUGCUUUUGUACGGAACGAAACGGCCUUUUCUAAUAAAGAGGGCUAAUGACGGUACCGUAAGAAUAAGCACCGGCUAACUACGUGCCAGCAGCCGCGGUAAUACGUAGGGUGCAAGCGUUAAUCGGAAUUACUGGGCGUAAAGCGUGCGCAGGCGGUUAUGUAAGACAGGUGUGAAAUCCCCGGGCUCAACCUGGGAACUGCAUCUGUGACUGCAUAGCUAGAGUACGGUAGAGGGGGAUGGAAUUCCGCGUGUAGCAGUGAAAUGCGUAGAUAUGCGGAGGAACACCGAUGGCGAAGGCAAUCCCCUGGACCUGUACUGACGCUCAUGCACGAAAGCGUGGGGAGCAAACAGGAUUAGAUACCCUAGUAGUCCCA